GGGUCUUGGCCCAGUGGUAGAGCAUCUGCUCUACAUGCAGAAGGUCCCAGGUUCAAUCCCAGGCAUUUCCA